rnacentral:sRNA from 1 species
GCAGCUCACUUCCGGACCGCGGAGAGCACUGGCGACCCUAGCGGGUGAGAGGCCCUUCAGGGCCGUUGAGCGCACCAUCACGUCUAAGCCAUCAGCAAGUUUGUUGGUUUUAAUCUCCAAAAUACGUCUUGAUUUUGUCUGACUCUUUGCCACCACCCUGAUCUAAGCCCUUAUCAUCUGCUUGAAUCACUAACUUGUCUCCACUUGCAGUUUUUAAAAGAGUUGCUUCCAUUUGACUUUUUCUGUCUGCUGUACCAGCAUAUGAGUUUCAGGAGGGGUCAUUGAUGCAGUCAUUCUCAGUCUCCUCGGAGGGAGUGUGAAGAUGCUUAAAGAGCAUCCAGAGAUGGCGGAAGCUCCUCAGCAGCAGUUGGGUAUUCCUGUGGUGAAACUGGAGAAAGAGUUGCCAUGGGGCAGAGGAAGGGAGGACCCUAGUCCAGAGACUUUUCGGCUGAGGUUUCGGCAGUUCCGCUACCAGGAGGCAGCUGGACCCCAGGAAGCUCUUAGGGAGCUCCAGGAACUCUGUCGUCGGUGGCUGAGGCCCGAGUUGCACACCAAGGAGCAGAUCCUGGAGCUGCUGGUGCUGGAGCAGUUCCUCACUAUCCUGCCCUGCGAGUUCUACGCCUGGAUCCGGGAGCAUGGCCCAGAGAGUGGCAAGGCCCUGGCCGCCAUGGUGGAGGACCUGACAGAGAGAGCGCUGGAGGCCAAGGCGGUGGGUGAGGAGGGGAUCCAGGUCUGGCGCCCUUGGUGUGGGCAGGGAAUGUUAAAGAAUCCAAAGAUUUGAGGAAGCAGUAGGAGUGGACGAGGUGUGGAACCGCCCUCCUCUGCCCUCAGACUCCUUGAGGUUCUUUUUGGAGAGCAGUGGCGUUUUCAGCAAGAAAGGCCAUUCCCAGGGGAGAUGCUGCCAUGCAGAAGGGCCUGAAGCCUCUGUUUGGUCAUGAGGGCAGAGGCCUGGCCAUAUUUCCCCUGUGGGCAUCAGGCAAAAAGAAGGCAGUUGUGAUUGUUUUUGGGGUCCCUCAUAGACCUGACCCUGCUUUGGACAGAGAUGCCUCUGGGAAGGCAGAGAAUCCCACCUGGGGAAUAUUUUUCCGGAAAAGGGUUGUCCAUGGCAGUACUGUUUUCUCUGUGGCUCAUAGGGCUCCUGUAACAAUUCUUUGGUGCUGCUCUAAUGACACCAAGUGAUUUGGCACCGCACGUGCUUCCUUGAGGUUCCAGCCAUAUUUCGGUCACUUUGUGGUACAGCCCCCUGAUGGAUGACUGGGAAAGGAGAGCAGGACUGAUGACACCGUCUUGCUCACAAGCCCCCGUCCUUCUGUAGUUCAGCCUCCCGUGCACACUCUCGUCACCCUGACUUCCUGUCUUCAGAAUCCUAAGAGAAUUUUUUCCUACUCAACUCAGGAGCUUAAAAGUGGACCAGAAAUGCCUUGUUUUUGUGAGUACUUCUCAGUGAGAGAGUCCUCCUGAUUUUUCUUGCUCUUUUUAAUUUAUUAUUUUUGAGACAGGGUCAGCCAACAGCCUAGGCUGGAGUGCAGUGGCACAAUCCUAGCUUACUGCAGCCUUGAGCUCCUGGCUCAGUUGAUCCUCCCACCUCAGCCUCCUGAGUAGCUGAGACCACAGGCAUGUACCACCAUGCCUGGCUAAUUUUUUUAUUUUUUGUAGAGAUGGAGUCUCGUCAUGUUGCCCAGGCUUCCUGGCUCUCUUUAAAGCAACUAUUUCUCACUGGCCUGUUCACUGCAGGGUCUAGGCUUUGCAUUUUUUAUUUUCAGCUUUUUCAAUUAGGAAUUUUUUUUUCUAGUAGUGAGUAUAUUGUGUUAAAAUCCUCAGCAGGAUAAUAUUUGGGCUUGGUGAUGGCAGGUAGAGGGGACCCUUGUCAAAUGGCGUGGACAGAUAAAAGUUGCUCAGGGCCUGAUGCAUGAGUUUAGCUUCCUUUUCACUUCCUCACUAAUGUCCUGGGGAAGAGCUCAGCUGAUUUUUCCUUCCUCUCCCCUGAAGCUGGAAUGGUUCUUUUCUUGGUUCUCUUUUUAGAUUUUAGUUCAACUCCCUUCAUAACAGCCUUGCCCAGGCCUCAUUCUAAUCGGUGUUGGGAACUGUUCUUAGGUUCCAUGCCACAGGCAGGGAGAGCAGGAGGAAACAGCACUUUGCAGAGGCGCUUGGGAGCCAGGCAUCCAGCUGGGGCCAGUGGAGGUCAAGCCUGAGUGGGGGAUGCCCCCUGGGGAAGGAGUUCAAGGUCCAGACCCAGGUACCGAGGAGCAGCUCAGUCAGGACCCUGGAGAUGAGACACGGGCCUUCCAGGAGCAAGCACUACCUGUUCUGCAGGCGGGUCCUGGCCUCCCCGCAGUGAAUCCCAGAGACCAAGAGAUGGCAGCUGGGUUCUUUACUGCUGGAUCGCAGGGGUUGGGGCCAUUUAAAGAUAUGGCCCUGGCCUUCCCUGAGGAGGAGUGGAGGCAUGUGACCCCAGCCCAGAUAGACUGCUUUGGGGAGUACGUGGAACCGCAGGACUGCAGGGUCUCUCCAGGCGGUGGGAGCAAGGAAAAGGAGGCAAAACCCCCACAGGAAGACCUGAAAGGGGCGCUGGUGGCACUGACAUCAGAGAGGUUUGGGGAAGCCUCUCUCCAGGGCCCUGGGCUCGGAAGGGUCUGUGAGCAGGAGCCUGGUGGCCCUGCAGGCAGUGCGCCUGGGCUUCCUCCUCCCCAGCACGGUGCCAUCCCCCUGCCUGACGAAGUCAAAACCCACAGCUCCUUCUGGAAGCCUUUCCAGUGCCCUGAGUGUGGGAAAGGAUUCAGUCGGAGCUCCAAUCUCGUCAGGCACCAGCGAACCCACGAAGAGGAGAAGUCUUAUGGCUGUGUGGAGUGUGGGAAGGGCUUUACCCUGAGAGAGUACCUGAUGAAGCACCAGAGAACCCACCUGGGAAAGAGGCCCUACGUGUGCAGCGAGUGCUGGAAAACCUUCAGCCAGAGACACCACCUGGAGGUGCACCAGCGCAGCCACACUGGGGAGAAGCCCUACAAGUGCGGGGACUGCUGGAAGAGCUUCAGCCGCAGGCAGCACCUGCAGGUGCACCGGAGGACGCACACCGGGGAGAAGCCCUACACCUGCGAGUGUGGCAAGAGCUUCAGCAGGAAUGCCAAUCUGGCGGUGCACCGGCGUGCCCACACUGGCGAGAAGCCAUAUGGGUGCCAGGUGUGCGGGAAGCGGUUCAGCAAAGGGGAGCGGCUGGUCCGACACCAGAGAAUCCACACAGGGGAGAAGCCCUACCACUGUCCUGCCUGCGGGCGAAGCUUCAACCAGAGGUCCAUCCUCAACCGGCACCAGAAGACCCAGCACCGCCAGGAGCCGCUGGUGCAGUGAGCAUAGCAGGUGGCAGGCAGCACCAUCAUUCAUCUUUCUCACUGCAGGGCCUUGUGGGGCGCAAGGUGAUGGCUGCAGGAAAGCACUGGUCCCAUCGCCUUCCCACCCAUUUGCAAACGCGGGAAAGGCAAGGCCUGGCUUACUUAGAGCUUCCAGAGAGCAUAGCUGCUUCCAUCUCUUACCCAAGUGGUGCUAAACAAUUUUUCUUCCAAUGUUUGAGGGAAGCAGUCUCCUGCGGUUCAGUUCAGGCUGAGAUUUUCUCCUUCAGUGGACUGUCUGUGUCCCCCUGCCGAACAAAGCUGGGAGUAAAGGCAAAACCUUGACACGUGUUGGUAGCUGGGACCUCAUCUUCCUGAGGGCUCUGUCUUGCCUGCAGGGUCAUUAGCUCAGACUCUUUCCCUACCCCCUCUCUUUUCCAUUGAACAAACAUUUAUUGAACAUCCUCUGAGCACCUGGCCGUGGGAAUGCCGUGGUGAAUGAGAGACUAGACGUGAUGCCUCUGGGGGUUGUGCGUUGGGGAUGCAUGCGACAGCCCAUGACCCGAGGCAUUCUCAGGGUAUCUGUGCUGUGUGCCCGUGAGAACAUCUUCCCAUGACCACUCCUGCCCUCCUGCCCCGUGCUGGAUCUUCCCUCCCCAGCUGGGAUCUGCUCCCAGGCAACUGUGUGAAUUUUACAUUAUUUGGAGCCUCAUCUGUGUCAGGCUAUAACAUUCUAUCCUCAUCUGUAAAACUUCCCCGUCCAUUAUUCCUUGCACUAUAACAACUGUCAACACACCAGCUAUUAGGAAGUUAGUAUUUUGCUAUUGAUCACUGAAUAAACAUCAGAGUAUUUUAAAAAACAGUUCUCUAGAAAGAACUGUUAUAAUUAAAAUGAGUCUGAAAGAUGAACUCUAGUAUUAAUGCCCUAUAUUUGAUGGCACUUUAUAGUUCAUAAAAUUAAUUUCACCCCAUUCUCAUUGGACCCAUUUCCCAAGUAUUUAUUGAGGCCCUGUAACAAACAUGUCAGGAACUCUUCUGGGUGCUUGAGACACAUCCAUGAAUAAAAUAGGGGGAGAAGCUGUUGACCUCGUAGAGCUUAUGUCUCGUGGAUGUACCUGAUCUUCAGAACCCGUGGAUAUUCCUGCAAAUCCUCUGGGCCUGUAUUCAUUGUUUUGUCAGCAUCUUGCCCUGAAAUGCAUUUGCCACCUACCUCUUGUUACUAAAUGGUCUCUGCCCUCUAGACCCUUGUCAUCCAAGGCACUAGGGAUCCUAGACACCCACUGGGGAUGAUGAGCUGGUAGCGACCUGUUUUGCAUGAGUGCCAAGUCAGGAAAAAUAAAGAUAUUUGUAGGCAUUAAAAAAAAAUACAAUUUCUUUAAAAAUGAGAAGAUGCAAUAUUUGUAAACUGUUGAAGCUUCCUUAUUGUGCCAUCACUUAAGGGUUUCAUUUCUGUUUAAAGUUCUGGAAGCUGCAUAACUAGCAUGGACUGACUGCUGUGUCAUUGUGCUGUGCCUUUGAACCCUGGCUGAGUGAGUGAGUUUGUCUUUUGUUGAUAGUGUACUAUAAUUGCAAAAUGUGGUUUGUCUUCUGAUGCCUCUUAAUACCAGAUUCUUUUACUGAGAUUUUUUUUUUUCAUUUUCCAUUGUAAAUAAGGUAAAUGGUAAUGACUAACACAAAGCUGUAUUACUCAGCCCACUUUGAAACGUGGUUUUAUCACCUGUUCUUGGUAGGCAGCAUGGUGUCUAAUUUUGGCUUAGCAAAUGACCCUUCUUGGUCUUCCUGGCUCAUUAGCUGUGCCCACGAGGCUGCACUGACCGGGUCGUAAAUGUAUCUGAGAUGUCCACACGGGGCUGCUGCUGCUCCUCUGUAAUACUGAGGUCCACGUGCAAAAUCAGCUUUUUUUCCCCCGUAAUUAUCAGAGCAGCUAGGCAGGGCUGACAGCCAGGCAGACUCAGUGGGAGGCUUCUGGCCUGAGUGUGGCCUUCCCCAGAGGGUGGUUUUCCAAAGGCAGGUGGGGACUGGGGAGGCCUCGGGGGGCUGCUUGUCACUCAUCAUUCUGUUUACCUGAAUCACAGAUGCUCUUUUAUCAUACACAGCCAGCACUCCUCUGGGUUUCAGCAAGUUGGGAUAUCUUAAGCUUCAGAAGGAGCUGGGCCUUGCUGACUUUCCUAUCUGGCCUCUUCCCUAUCUCCUGUGGGGCCAAGAGCUUAGGACAGUGUCUCAGAAAAGCCUCUUAGUAGGGGGUUUUUCCCAUGGGAUUGUAGUAGUAUGAUUUUUCAUAUCUAUUCAAAUGUUAAGAAAUAUUUUGUUUUCUGUAUUUUUCUAUUCUUUAGAAAUUUUUUUAUAAUAGAUAAUUUCAAACCUAUAUAAAUAAAUCCUUAUGUAUUUAUCAUUUGACUUUAUUAUAAACUCAUAA